GACGAACGCUGGCGGCGUGCUUAACACAUGCAAGUCGAACGGAAAGGCACUGCUUUUGUGGGGUGCUCGAGUGGCGAACGGGUGAGUAACACGUGAGUAACCUGACCUUCACUUUGGGAUAACUUCAGGAAACUGGGGCUAAUACCGGAUAGGAGCUCCUGCUGCAUGGUGGGGGGUGGAAAGUUUCGGCGGGUGGGGAUGGACUCGCGGCUGAUCAGCUUGUUGGUCGGGUAGUGGCUUACCAAGGCUUUGACGGGUAGCCGGCCUGAGAGGGUGACCGGCGUCAUUGCGCCUGAGAUACGCAGCAGUCUCGUACGUUAGACAGCGGGCGGGAAUAUGACACAGCGAGAGGGAGCCUGUGACGGCAACGUCGGGUGUGGGAUGACCGUUUUUUGGUUGAGAAAAGCAUCAGGUUGUGACGCCGCGUUACUGACGGUAAUGAAUAAAUAAGCACCGGCUAACUUCGUG
rnacentral:rRNA from 1 species